rnacentral:rRNA from 1 species
ACAGGGUUGCCCCAGUAGCGGCGAGCGAAGCGGCAACAGCCCAGAUUUGAAAUCCGGUGCCCUUUGGGCCCCCGAGUUGUAAUCUGCAGAUGGGUUUUCCGGCGAGGCGCGCGCCCAAGUUCCCUGGAAUGGGACGCCGUAGAGGGUGAGAGCCCCGUACUGGCGCCGUGCCGAGCCUCUGUGAGGCCCAUUCGACGAGUCGAGUAGUUUGGGAAUGCUGCUCUAAUUGCGAGGUAAAUCUCUCGUAAGGCUAAAUACCGGCCAGAGACCGAUAGCGCACAAGUAGCGUGAGCGAAAGAUGAAAAGAGCCUUGGAUAAGGGCGUCAAAAAGCAUGUGAAAUCGUUAUGGGGGAAGCGCUCGUCGCCAGACGUGGCGGCGGCUGGUUAGCCGGCGUUCUCGCCGGCGCACUCGGACCGCCGCCAGGCCAGCAACAGCUCGGACUGGGGCCCACUGCCGGAAGGAACGUAGCUCCCCUCGUGGGAGUGUUAUAGCCUUUCGGCGACGCCCUGGGCCGGGCUGAGGACCGCGCCCCGCGCACGGAUGCUGGCGUAAUGGCGCCUAGCGACCCGUCUUGAAACACGGACCAAGGAGUUGACCUAGCGCGCGAGUGUACGGGUGUAAAGCCCCUGCGCGUAGUGAAAGCGAACGCUGGUGGGAGCCUUCGGGCGCACCAUCGACCGAUCCUGAUGCUCCGCGGAUGGAUUUGAGUAGGAGCGCGCUGGGUCUGACCCGAAAGAAGGUGAACUAUGCAUGGGUAGGGUGAAGCCAGAGGAAACUCUGGUGGAGGCUCGCAGCGGUUCUGACGUGCAAAUCGAUCGUCAAACCUGUGCAUGGGGGCGAAAGACAAUCGAAC